rnacentral:rRNA from 1 species
AUUGAACGCUGGCGGCAGGCCUAACACAUGCAAGUCGAGCGGAUGAAUGGAGCUUGCUCCUGUAUUCAGCUGCGGACGGGUGGGUAAGUCAUAGGAAUCUACCUGGUCUUGGGGAAUGAGGUCCGGACACGGGCGCGAAUACCGCAUACGUUCAGAUGGUGAAACUGGUGGUUCUUCGGUGCUCACGCUAUUUGAUGAGCCUAGGUGGGAUUAGCUAGUUGGUUGGGUAAAGGCCUACCAAGGCGACGAUCCGUAACUGAUCUGAGAGGAUGAUCAGUCACACUGGAACUGAGACACGGUCCAGACUCCUACGGGAGGCAGCAGUGGGGAAUAUUGGACAAUGGGCGAAAGCCUGAUCCAGCCAUGCCGCGUGUGUGAAGAAGGUCUUCGGAUUGUAAAGCACUUUAAGUUGGGAAGAAGGGCAGUAAGUUAAAACCUUGCUGUUUUGACGUUACCAACAGAAUAAGCACCGGCUAACUUCGUG